GUGCAGCAGGCGCGAAAACUUCACAAUGUGCGAAAGCACGAUGAGGGAAUCCCAAGUGCUUGCCCGUAAGAGUAAGCUGUUUCUCUGUCUAAAACGCAGAGAGAGUAAGGGCUGGGUAAGACGGGUGCCAGCCGCCGCGGGUAAUACCUGCAGCUCGAGUGGUGGCCGCUAUUAUUGGGCCCAAAACGUCCGUAGCCGGUUUAUUAAAUGCCUGGGUAAAUCGGACCGCUUAACGGUUCGAAUUCCGGGUAGACUGAUAAACUUGAGACCGGGAGAAGCUAGAGGUACUCCUGGGGUAGAGGUGAAAUUCGUGUAAUCCUAGGGGGACCACCAGUGGCGAAGGCGUCUAGCUAGAACGGGUCUGACGGUGAGGGACGAAGCCCUGGGGGCGCAAACGGGG
rnacentral:rRNA from 1 species